GCCUCAUGCCAAGGUUAAUUUGGCACCUUCUUCCCAGAGAGCAUGUGCAGACUGUGACAGGCUUUCAAAGAAGCCACUGCCCACAUGUGCUCUCUUGCUUUCUUAUUGGUGUUCAGGAGGAGAGGGCCGGUUCCUCUCCAGAAAGCUGGGUGCUAUGACAGAUGAGACUUUUAUGCAAGAAAACAAAUCCUACACCUUUGAUGUACUGCUUGAAACUUAAAGAUCUCUUUGGACAUGAAAUUGUAAGGCUAACCAACUGCUGGGCUGCACUGAAGUACACAAUACACACCCUUGAUUUGUAUGCUUGUGAAAAAGAGGAGAAUGAAGCUAGAAUGAAGAUCCUUGAUUUUCCAAGUCACAGAGCAAAUCAGGGAAAUGCUGUGCCCUUGACCAUCUGCACACUUCACUUGAUCUUCCUAGCUUCUCUGGCAAAGGCUGUUUAGGGAAAGAAUAUUAGCACCUUCAAACAGUAUUUUGCCAAGCUUUCCAGUGAUCUAUUUACAAACUUUUCAAAAUGAAGCAAACUGCCACUUCAUUAUUGGACAUACCACAGAGUAUCUAUAUAUCAUCAAAUUCACAAAAAUAUAAUGACUCUAAACUGAUAGGGAAACUUGAAUAGAAUUGGGUUAAAAAUAAUACUUUAACUGAGAUACUUGUUUGCCUAUUAAAAUAUAAUCAAGAGUUUUUUUCUUGUUGGAAGGUCCUAUCUGCCCUCUCCCACCUCAGUCUCUUUUGCUUUCCUCUUCAUACAUACACUCCAUAGUAGCAUCCCUACCAAUCCCACGAUUUUUAAGCCUGAAUGACAUUUUGUAUGUGUCAUUACCUGCCUUACCUUCUUUCUUCCUUUUCCCUCGACUUGUUCAGAAACCUGCUUUUCAUAUUGAUCACUGGGAAGGUAAUUUUUUUAUCAGUGUACCUAAAGGGCAACCACAAGUUGAAAGGAAAGUCCUCAUUGUCUCUUGUCUUCACGUAACAGUCUGGUCUCCAAUUUAAGUCACUCUGUAUCAGCAGAGUCAAACUCCAUCACACUAACUGGCAUUUGAGAUAUGCUCUCUGCAUUCAAGGAUAGUUGAUUUUCUUUAUUAUUUAGUGACACUACCUAUAAGAUCCUGCUGUUUAAAUAGCCUUUCUGGCAGAAAGUCAAGGAACAACUUUGCCAGAUUAGAUACAAGCUAGAUAUUUUUAUGUUAUUUACAGUUGAUCUAAAAUUCAACUUUAAAUGGGUGUCCUAUAGGUUUUUUGCUAUAUUUUCACAACUCUAGCAAGGAGGCAAUAUCACUAAGAAUUUAAAACACAAAUCAAGAAGUUAUUUAGUGUUUUACCUCCCUGACAGGGCAAUGAGAACCACAAUCCAAUGCUAAAGUAUCAAACAAAAUAACUGAACAUCAGCUGUCAAGACCAGCAAGUGAUGGCGGAAGGCAAAUAGAUCAGGCUAACCAUAGGCUUUGAGAUCUUUUUCACUGACUUGGAAUUAAAGUGGUUUUAACAAUUGGAGAAUUCUUAACAAUUAGAGAAGUUUUAACUGUUAGAACUCCCUUUUUAAACAGUGAGAAAUUUUGAGAACUGCACACAGAUGAUAGCACUUUUGAAAAAAAUAAUGCUUAAUGAAAGUGACAUGAAAUAAAAAUUUGGCUAAGAUAAAUUUCGCAAAUAUGGAUCAGCUAAAAUUAAAAAUCAUUAAUCUACUGGGGCUGGAGCCUCACUGGGAAGAGCUUCACAGACUCAUAGCUUAGCUGAUUUGACCACACACCCAUGUGGCCUCCCCUCUCCUCCUUCAAAGUUCACCUGAGGACCUUUCAACUUUUCAAACUCUCUGUUCAACAAACACAGCAUUGACAUCUCUGGAAUUUACUGAAGAUCGUUAUCAAAGAACAGUAUGUGAAACUUUAUCAGGUAUGAUUUAAGCUCUUGAGCAAACACAAUUUGAAUAUUCUGAUUAUAGAUGUGGUUUCCCAGCUUAUAAGAUACUCAAAGUUUGAACUUUAUCAUAAAUGGGAGGAGGUGAAUAAAAGAGAGACUUAAAUUUGGUUUAGUUAGUCCAGAAUAUUAUUUUCUUAAAGGAAAAAAACUGCAACUAAUGUCUGAAAAGUACAAUAAAAAAAAAACUAAUUCUACCAAAUUACACACCUAGUGAUUUUAGUUAGCACAUCCCUGGCUUCCAACUGCAUUCAGUGGAGGUAUUUAUGCUUUGUAUCACUAGUAGCUUUGGCUAGUGAGGAAUCAUGGCAAUACAAAGUAAAAGACAUGUUAAGAAAAAGAUACUCCAGGCUGAGAGGAAGAAAUUGCACCUGAAUUAAUGAUUUAACUAUGUGAUUUGGAUUUUUUUAUUUAGCAACAGAGGAAAAUACUCUGUCUUAGAGGAUUUACAGUAUUAUGAAUACAAAAACACUACCAAAUUAAGAGCAUUAUAUACACACAAUAAUCACAGUUCCACACGUGUGUUUAUGACAGUGCUAUUCACAAUAGCCAAAGGGUAGAAGCAGCCAAGUGUCCAUCAGUGGAUGAAUGGACAAACAAAUUUGGUAUGCACACACAGUAGAAUAUUAUUCAACCUUAUGGAAGAAAGAAAUUUGACACAUACUACAGCAUGGAUGAAACUUGGGGACAUUAUGGUAAGGAAAAUAAGCCAGACAUAAAAGAAAAGUUUCAUAUAUUUACACUUUAAUGAGGUGUCUAGAGUAGUAUCAAAGUCAUAGGAACAGAGGAUAGAGCAGUGGUAUCCAGGGGCUGGGUGAGCGUGACAUGAGGAGUUCAUGUUUAAUGGAUAUGAAGUCUCAGUUUGGGAUGUUAAGAAUGUUUUGGAGAUGGAUGGUGGUGAUGAUUGGAUAACAAUGUGAAU
rnacentral:lncRNA from 1 species